GGGUUGUGAGGUUAAGCGACUAAGCGUACACGGUGGAUGCCCUGGCAGUCAGAGGCGAUGAAGGGCGUGCUAAUCUGCGAUAAGCGCCGGUAAGGUGAUAUGAACCGUUAUAACCGGCGAUACCCGAAUGGGGAAACCCAGUGUGAUUCGUCACACUAUCAUUAACUGAAUCCAUAGGUUAAUGAGGCGAACCGGGGGAACUGAAACAUCUAAGUACCCCGAGGAAAAGAAAUCAACCGAGAUUCCCCCAGUAGCGGCGAGCGAACGGGGAGGAGCCCAGAGCCUGAAUCAGCAUGUGUGUUAGUGGAAGCGUCUGGAAAGGCGCGCGAUACAGGGUGACAGCCCCGUACACAAAAGCGCAUGUGCUGUGAGCUCGAUGAGUAGGGCGGGACACGUGGUAUCCUGUCUGAAUAUGGGGGGACCAUCCUCCAAGGCUAAAUACUCCUGACUGACCGAUAGUGAACCAGUACCGUGAGGGAAAGGCGAAAAGAACCCCGGCGAGGGGAGUGAAAAAGAACCUGAAACCGUGUACGUACAAGCAGUGGGAGCCCCACCACUAAGCCAGUGGUGAACUCCACAUCCGCAUCCUUUGCUGAGGAUACGGUUAACGGAGCGAAAGCGACGUUCAACCGCAAAACAAGCAGAGGGGGCUUAGUGGUGGGGUGACUGCGUACCUUUUGUAUAAUGGGUCAGCGACUUAUAUUCUGUAGCAAGGUUAACCGAAUAGGGGAGCCGGAGGGAAACCGAGUCUUAAUUGGGCGUUAAGUUGCAGGGUAUAGACCCGAAACCCGGUGAUCUAGCCAUGGGCAGGUUGAAGGUUGGGUAACACUAACUGGAGGACCGAACCGACUAAUGUUGAAAAAUUAGCGGAUGACCUGUGGCUGGGGGUGAAAGGCCAAUCAAACCGGGGAGAUAGCUGGUUCUCCCCGAAAGCUAUUUAGGUAGCGCCUCGUGAAUUCAUCUCCGGGGGUAGAGCACUGUUUCGGCUAGGGGCCAUCCCGGCUUACCAACCCGAUGCAAACUGCGAAUACCGGAGAAUGUUAUCACGGGAGACACACGGCGGGUGCUAACGUCCGUCGUGAAGAGGGAAACAACCCAGACCGCCAGCUAAGGUCCCAAAGUCAUGGUUAAGUGGGAAACGAUGUGGGAAGGCCCAGACAGCCAGGAUGUUGGCUUAGAAGCAGCCAUCAUUUAAAAGAAAGCGUAAUAGCUCACUGGUCGAGUCGGCCUGCGCGGAAGAUGUAACGGGGCUAAACCAUGCACCGAAGCUGCGGCAGCGAACGUAUCACUUAAAGCGAUUCAGCGGGUUACGAUUGACGGAGCGAAGCGACGUCAAAGCGUAUACAAAGUCGAGUCGGUUUAAGGAUACGUUCGUUGGGUAGGGGAGCGUUCUGUAAGCCCGUGAAGGUGGCCUGUGAGGGUUGCUGGAGGUAUCAGAAGUGCGAAUGCUGACAUAAGUAACGAUAAAGCGGGUGAAAAGCCCGCUCGCCGGAAGACCAAGGGUUCCUGUCCAACGUUAAUCGGGGCAGGGUGAGUCGACCCCUAAGGCGAGGCCGAAAGGCGUAGUCGAUGGGAAACGGGUUAAUAUUCCCGUACUUGGUGUUACUGCGAAGGGGGGACGGAGAAGGCUAUGUUGGCCGGGCGACGGUUGUCCCGGUUUAAGCGUGUAGGUGUGUGUUCCAGGUAAAUCCGGUUCACUUUAACACUGAGGCGUGAUGACGAGGCACUACGGUGCUGAAGCAACAAAUGCCCUGCUUCCAGGAAAAGCCUCUAAGCAUCAGGUAACAUCAAAUCGUACCCCAAACCGACACAGGUGGUCAGGUAGAGAAUACCAAGGCGCUUGAGAGAACUCGGGUGAAGGAACUAGGCAAAAUGGUGCCGUAACUUCGGGAGAAGGCACGCUGACACGUAGGUGAAGUGAUUUACUCACGGAGCUGAAGUCAGUCGAAGAUACCAGCUGGCUGCAACUGUUUAUUAAAAACACAGCACUGUGCAAACACGAAAGUGGACGUAUACGGUGUGACGCCUGCCCGGUGCCGGAAGGUUAAUUGAUGGGGUCAGCGCAAGCGAAGCUCCUGAUCGAAGCCCCGGUAAACGGCGGCCGUAACUAUAACGGUCCUAAGGUAGCGAAAUUCCUUGUCGGGUAAGUUCCGACCUGCACGAAUGGCGUAAUGAUGGCCAGGCUGUCUCCACCCGAGACUCAGUGAAAUUGAACUCGCUGUGAAGAUGCAGUGUACCCGCGGCAAGACGGAAAGACCCCGUGAACCUUUACUAUAGCUUGACACUGAACAUUGAGCCUUGAUGUGUAGGAUAGGUGGGAGGCUUUGAAGUGUGGACGCCAGUCUGCAUGGAGCCGACCUUGAAAUACCACCCUUUAAUGUUUGAUGUUCUAACGUGGACCCGUAAUCCGGGUUGCGGACAGUGUCUGGUGGGUAGUUUGACUGGGGCGGUCUCCUCCUAAAGAGUAACGGAGGAGCACGAAGGUUGGCUAAUCCUGGUCGGACAUCAGGAGGUUAGUGCAAUGGCAUAAGCCAGCUUGACUGCGAGCGUGACGGCGCGAGCAGGUGCGAAAGCAGGUCAUAGUGAUCCGGUGGUUCUGAAUGGAAGGGCCAUCGCUCAACGGAUAAAAGGUACUCCGGGGAUAACAGGCUGAUACCGCCCAAGAGUUCAUAUCGACGGCGGUGUUUGGCACCUCGAUGUCGGCUCAUCACAUCCUGGGGCUGAAGUAGGUCCCAAGGGUAUGGCUGUUCGCCAUUUAAAGUGGUACGCGAGCUGGGUUUAGAACGUCGUGAGACAGUUCGGUCCCUAUCUGCCGUGGGCGCUGGAGAACUGAGGGGGGCUGCUCCUAGUACGAGAGGACCGGAGUGGACGCAUCACUGGUGUUCGGGUUGUCAUGCCAAUGGCACUGCCCGGUAGCUAAAUGCGGAAGAGAUAAGUGCUGAAAGCAUCUAAGCACGAAACUUGCCCCGAGAUGAGUUCUCCCUGAGACUUAGAGUCUCCUGAAGGAACGUUGAAGACGACGACGUUGAUAGGCCGGGUGUGUAAGCGCAGCGAUGCGUUGAGCUAACCGGUACUAAUGAACCGUGAGGCUUAACCUUACAACGCCGAAG
rnacentral:rRNA from 1 species